rnacentral:rRNA from 1 species
UACGUAGGGGGCAAGCGUUGUCCGGAAUCAUUGGGCGUAAAGCGCGUGUAGGCGGCCCGGUAAGUCCGCUGUGAAAGUCGGGGGCUCAACCCUCGGAUGCCGGUGGAUACUGUCGGGCUAGAGUGCGGAAGAGGCGAGUGGAAUUCCUGGUGUAGCGGUGAAAUGCGCAGAUAUCAGGAGGAACACCAAUUGCGAAGGCAGCUCGCUGGGACGUGACUGACACUGAGGCGCGAAAGCGUGGGGAGCGAACAGG